GAUGAACGCUGGCGGCGUGCCUAAUACAUGCAAGUCGAGCGAACAGACGAGGAGCUUGCUCCUCUGACGUUAGCGGCGGACGGGUGAGUAACACGUGGAUAACCUACCUAUAAGACUGGGAUAACUUCGGGAAACCGGAGCUAAUACCGGAUAAUAUAUUGAACCGCAUGGUUCAAUAGUGAAAGACGGUUUUGCUGUCACUUAUAGAUGGAUCCGCGCCGCAUUAGCUAGUUGGUAAGGUAAUGGCUUUCCAAGGCAACGAUGCGUAGCCGACCUGAUAGGGUGAUCGGCCACCCUGGAACGGAGACACGGUCCAGACUCCUACGGGAGGCAGCAGUAGGGAAUCUUCCGCAAUGGGCGAAAGCCUGACGGAGCAACGCCGCGUGAGUGAUGAAGGUCUUCGGAUCGUAAAACUCUGUUAUUAGGGAAGAACAAAUGUGUAAGUAACUAUGCACGUCUUGACGGUACCUAAUCAGAAAGCCACGGCUAACUACGUG
rnacentral:rRNA from 1 species